GACGAACGCUGGCGGCGUGCUUAACACAUGCAAGUCGAGCGGUAAGGCCCUUUCGGGGGUACACGAGCGGCGAACGGGUGAGUAACACGUGGGUGACCUGCCCUUAGCUCUGGGAUAAGCCUGGGAAACUGGGUCUAAUACCGGAUAUGACUCCAUGACGCAUGUUGUGGGGUGGAAAGCCUUGUGCGGCUAGGGAUGGGCCCGCGGCCUAUCAGCUUGUUGGCGGGGUGAUGGCCACCAAGGCGACGACGGGUAGCCGGCCUGAGAGGGCGACCGGCCACACUGGGACUGAGACACGGCCCACGACUCCUACGGGAGGCAGCAGUGGGGAAGUCUUGCGCAAUGGGCGAAAGCCUGACGCAGCGACGCCGCGUGA
rnacentral:rRNA from 1 species